CAAAUACUCCCUCCGUCCGGAAAUACUUGUCAUCAAAAUGGAUAAAAGGAAAUGUAUCUAGAUGUAUUUUAGUUUUAGAUACAUCUCUUUUUAUCCAUUUUUAUGACAAGUAUUUUCGGACGGAGGGAGUAGAAA
rnacentral:pre_miRNA from 1 species